rnacentral:rRNA from 1 species
AUUGAACGCUGGCGGCAGGCCUAACACAUGCAAGUCGAGCGGAGCGGCGGACGGGUGAGUAAUGCCUCGGAAUCUGCCCAGUAGCGGGGGAUAACUUCCGGAAACGGUCGCUAAUACCGCAUACUAUUGGAGUGGCCUAUGUCGGAUUAGCUAGUUGGUGGGGUAAAGGCCUACCAAGGCGACGAUCCGUAACUGGUCUGAGAGGAUGAUCAGUCACACUGGAACUGAGACACGGUCCAGACUCCUACGGUAGGCAGCAGUGGGGAAUAUUGGACAAGGGGCGAAAGCCUGAUCCAGCCAUGCCGCGUGUGUGAAGAAGGUCUUCGGAUUGUAAAGCACUUUAAGUUGGGAGGCGUUACCAACAGAAUAAGCACCGGCUAACUUCGUGCCAGCAGCCGCGGUAAUUC